GCCUCCUCCUCCCUAAGAUGUCGGUGUGUUGUCAGAGGAAUUUUCAGCUGUUCUGACUCCUUCUUUGGGUCAUUUUCAAGCUCGAACCCUUCUUACAAUGCUGUUUUCUGUGUAGGUGGUCGAGGCUCAACCCCAAGGGACUGAAGACCGAAGCUUGGAGUUCUUUGCUCAUGAAUCUCUAAUGAAGCUUAGGUGGCGGCUCUCUUACUUCAACUUUCCUUGAAUUUUCUUUAGAUGCUCCAUUCGUUUUAUUCUUCAACUUAUGUAUCUAGAAUUUUUUAGAUUAUACUGUGAAAAUGAAACUUUGAUUUGUAAGACUUAAGUUUCUUAACUAUAUCAGGCUAAAAACUUGUCUCCAAGUAUAUCAAUGGGUGUACACUUUCCACCAUUUUCUUGACCAAAUCUUGUAUUUGCAUCACCAUUCCACUAAGAGAAGUAUUUUCUACCUAUUUAAUACUAUUCUUCCUCUUCCAGAUUGUCCA